CGAUAUCGAUAUAGUUGAUAUCGACAUCGCCGGUAACGAUAACGAUAGAGUUAUCGUUAUCGGCGAUAUCGAUAUCAUUAUCGUUA
rnacentral:miRNA from 1 species